rnacentral:lncRNA from 1 species
UCACAGAAAAAUGCAGAGUCGAAGAAUCGAAUAAGCCAACCACUCUCUCCAAUAUCCUCACUCGUUGGGAUUGUCCGAGUUACCUCCCGAGGUGACUCGGCCGGCUCUCCUCGCGUCAAUCCCAAUAACCUCACCAUUGUCAAAUCAUCAUAAACACCACAAAACCCUAAAACCUAACACAAACCCUAACCCUAUAUAUUUUUUGUCCAUCUCACAGCUGCCCUAAAUCAUAUCACUACUAUAUACAGUAUAACCAAUUCAAAAUUCGAAAUUCAAGCAACUUCAAUCAGUGAAAAUUCAAAAUCAAAGCAACUUCUUCCGAUGAAUUCACUGAAUUCCGAUCAAAUUACUAAGAGAAAUCAAAGCAACUUUUCGAAGGUAAUAAGAGCAGAGAUAUUCUGAAUUUUAUCGGAAAUGAAGGGAUCCGACGAAGAUAACCAAAUAUAUACCGUCCGGCGACGGUGGAACAACGUCGUAUCACCUCGCUAAAGCUCCGGCGAAACCAACCCAAGGCGGAGUCUUUUUGGGGGGGCGAGGUGGAGGUGAGACAUUAUCAAAUCAUCAUAACCACCAUAAAACCCUAAAACCUAACACUAACCCUAACCCGAUGAUUUUUUUUCCAACUCACAGCUGCCCCAAAUCAUAUCACUACUAUAUACAGUACAACCAAUUCGAAAUUUGAAAUUCAAGCAACUUCAAUCAGUGAAAAUUCAAAAUCAAAGCAACUUCUUCCGACGAAUUAACUGAAUUCCGAUCAAAUCACUAAAGAGAAAUCAAAACAACUUUUCGAAGAUAAUAAGAGCAGAAAUAUUCUGAAUUUAAUCGGAAAUGAAGGGAUCCGACGAAGAUAUCCAAAUAUAUACCGUUCGGCGACAGUGGAACAACGUCGUAUCACCUCGAUAAAACUCCGGCGAAACCAACUCAAGGCGGAGGUUUUUAGGGGGAUGAGGUGGAGGUGAUCAGAGGCGUAAUGUAAAAAAUGGAGGGCAGAAAAAACAGGAUGGGUGCUAACGUGCGCUGUGUAUGUUGGGUGAAGUUUCAACUUUCAACCUCUAGUGAAUAGUGAGUGAAGGGGGUACGUAAUUGACGGGGAAAGGAAGCAAUAUAGCAAGCGAAAUUCAAAACUUUUUAUGG